UUAAUUCCUUAGGUGGGCCGGGACGGGUGUACGUAACGCGGUACGGUAACGUCGUCCUUACCACGUGGGGAGUAACACUUAGAAAUAGGUGCUAAUACCGCAUAAGCGCACGAAGCCGCAUGGAUUUUGUGUGAAAAACUCCGGUGGUGUAAGAUGGACCCGCGUCUGAUUAGCUUGUUGGCGGGUAACGCCCACCAAGGCGACGAUCAGUAGCCGGCCUGAGAGGGUGGACGGCCACAUUGGGACUGAGACACGGCCCAAACUCCUACGGAAGGCAGCAG
rnacentral:rRNA from 1 species